rnacentral:rRNA from 1 species
UACGGGGGGGGGCAAGCGUUGUUCGGAAUUACUGGGCGUAAAGGGCUCGUAGGCGGCCAACUAAGUCGGAUGUGAAAUCCCCAGGCUCAACCUGGGAACUGCAUCCGAUACUGGAUGGCUUGAAUUCGGGAGAGGGAUGCAGAAUUCCAGGUGUAGCGGUGAAAUGCGUAGAUAUCUAGAGGAAUACCGGUGGCGAAGGCGGCAUCCUGGACCGACAUUGACGCUGAGGAGCGAAAGCCAGGGGAGCAAACGGG